GCGAACGCUGGCGGCAGGCUUAACACAUGCAAGUCGAGCGGACCUUUCGGGGUCAGCGGCGGACGGGUGAGUAACGCGUGGGAACGUGCCUUCCGGUUCGGAAUAACCCUGGGAAACUAGGGCUAAUACCGGAUACGCCCUUAUGGGGAAAGGUUUACUGCCGGAAGAUCGGCCCGCGUCUGAUUAGCUAGUUGGUGGGGUAACGGCCUACCAAGGCGACGAUCAGUAGCUGGUCUGAGAGGAUGAUCAGCCACACUGGGACUGAGACACGGCCCAGACUCCUACGGGAGGCAGCAGUGGGGAAUAUUGGACAAUGGGCGCAAGCCUGAUCCAGCCAUGCCGCGUGAGUGAUGAAGGCCUUAGGGUUGUAAAGCUCUUUUAUCCGGGACGAUAAUGACGGUACCGUAGGAAUAAGCCCCGGCUAACUUCGUG
rnacentral:rRNA from 1 species